AGUGUUGUUGGGUAGGGGAGCGUUCUGUAAGCCUGCGAAGGUGUGUCGUGAGGCAUGCUGGAGGUAUCAGAAGUGCGAAUGCUGACAUAAGUAACGAUAAUGCGGGUGAAAAACCCGCACGCCGGAAGACCAAGGGUUCCUGUCCAACGUUAAUCGGGGCAGGGUGAGUCGACCCCUAAGGCGAGGCCGAAAGGCGUAGUCGAUGGGAAACGGGUUAAUAUUCCCGUACCUGGUGUUACUGCGAAGGGGGGACGGAGAAGGCUAUGUUGGCCGGGCGACGGUUGUCCCGGUUUAAGCGUGCAGGCUGGUUUUCCAGGCAAAUCCGGAAAAUCAAGGCUGAGGCGUGACGACGAGGCACUACGGUGCUGAAGCAACAAAUGCCCUGCUUCCAGGAAAAGCCUCUAAGCCUCAGGUAACAUCAGAUCGUACCCGAAACCGACACAGGUGGUCAGGUAGAGAAUACCAAGGCGCUUGAGAGAACCCGGGUGAAGGAACUAGGCAAAAUGGUGCCGUAACUUCGGGAGAAGGCACGCUGACACGUAGGUGAAGCGGUUUACCCGUGGAGCUGAAGUCAGUCGAAGAUACCAGCUGGCUGCAACUGUUUAUUAAAAACACAGCACUGUGCAAACACGAAAGUGGACGUAUACGGUGUGACGCCUGCCCGGUGCCGGAAGGUUAAUUGAUGGGGUCAGCGCAAGCGAAGCUCCUGAUCGAAGCCCCGGUAAACGGCGGCCGUAACUAUAACGGUCCUAAGGUAGCGAAAUUCCUUGUCGGGUAAGUUCCGACCUGCACGAAUGGCGUAAUGAUGGCCAGGCUGUCUCCACCCGGGACUCAGUGAAAUUGAACUCGCUGUGAAGAUGCAGUGUACCCGCGGCAAGACGGAAAGACCCCGUGAACCUUUACUAUAGCUUGACACUGAACACUGGUCCUUGAUGUGCAGGAUAGGUGGGAGGCUUUGAAGUGUGGACGCCAGUCUGCAUGGAGCCGUCCUUGAAAUACCACCCUUUAAUGGCUGGUGUUCUAACGUAGACCCGUGAACCGGGUUGCGGACAGUGUCUGGUGGGUAGUUUGACUGGGGCGGUCUCCUCCUAAAGCGUAACGGAGGAGCACGAAGGUUGGCUAAUCCUGGUCGGACAUCAGGAGGUUAGUGCAAUGGCAUAAGCCAGCUUGACUGCGAGCGUGACGGCGCGAGCAGGUGCGAAAGCAGGUCAUAGUGAUCCGGUGGUUCUGAAUGGAAGGGCCAUCGCUCAACGGAUAAAAGGUACUCCGGGGAUAACAGGCUGAUACCGCCCAAGAGUUCAUAUCGACGGCGGUGUUUGGCACCUCGAUGUCGGCUCAUCACAUCCUGGGGCUGAAGUAGGUCCCAAGGGUAUGGCUGUUCGCCAUUUAAAGUGGUACGCGAGCUGGGUUUAGAACGUCGUGAGACAGUUCGGUCCCUAUCUGCCGUGGGCGCUGGAGAACUGAGGGGGGCUGCUCCUAGUACGAGAGGACCGGAGUGGACGCAUCACUGGUGUUCGGGUUGUCAUGCCAAUGGCACUGCCCGGUAGCUAAAUGCGGAAGAGAUAAGUGCUGAAAGC
rnacentral:rRNA from 1 species